AGUAGGGCGGGACACGUGGUAUCCUGUCUGAAUAUGGGGGGACCAUCCUCCAAGGCUAAAUACUCCUGACUGACCGAUAGUGAACCAGUACCGUGAGGGAAAGGCGAAAAGAACCCCGGCGAGGGGAGUGAAAAAGAACCUGAAACCGUGUACGUACAAGCAGUGGGAGCACGCUUAGGCGUGUGACUGCGUACCUUUUGUAUAAUGGGUCAGCGACUUAUAUUCUGUAGCAAGGUUAACCGAAUAGGGGAGCCGAAGGGAAACCGAGUCUUAACUGGGCGUUAAGUUGCAGGGUAUAGACCCGAAACCCGGUGAUCUAGCCAUGGGCAGGUUGAAGGUUGGGUAACACUAACUGGAGGACCGAACCGACUAAUGUUGAAAAAUUAGCGGAUGACUUGUGGCUGGGGGUGAAAGGCCAAUCAAACCGGGAGAUAGCUGGUUCUCCCCGAAAGCUAUUUAGGUAGCGCCUCGUGAAUUCAUCUCCGGGGGUAGAGCACUGUUUCGGCAAGGGGGUCAUCCCGACUUACCAACCCGAUGCAAACUGCGAAUACCGGAGAAUGUUAUCACGGGAGACACACGGCGGGUGCUAACGUCCGUCGUGAAGAGGGAAACAACCCAGACCGCCAGCUAAGGUCCCAAAGUCAUGGUUAAGUGGGAAACGAUGUGGGAAGGCCCAGACAGCCAGGAUGUUGGCUUAGAAGCAGCCAUCAUUUAAAGAAAGCGUAAUAGCUCACUGGUCGAGUCGGCCUGCGCGGAAGAUGUAACGGGGCUAAACCAUGCACCGAAGCUGCGGCAGCGACGCUGAUGCGUUGUUGGGUAGGGGAGCGUUCUGUAAGCCUGUGAAGGUGUGCUGUGAGGUAUGCUGGAGGUAUCAGAAGUGCGAAUGCUGACAUAAGUAACGAUAAAGCGGGUGAAAAGCCCGCUCGCCGGAAGACCAAGGGUUCCUGUCCAACGUUAAUCGGGGCAGGGUGAGUCGACCCCUAAGGCGAGGCCGAAAGGCGUAGUCGAUGGGAAACAGGUUAAUAUUCCUGUACUUGGUGUUACUGCGAAGGGGGGACGGAGAAGGCUAUGUUGGCCGGGCGACGGUUGUCCCGGUUUAAGCGUGUAGGCUGGUUUUCCAGGCAAAUCCGGAAAACUAAGGCUGAGGCGUGAUGACGAGGCACUACGGUGCUGAAGCAACAAAUGCCCUGCUUCCAGGAAAAGCCUCUAAGCAUCAGGUAACAUCAAAUCGUACCCCAAACCGACACAGGUGGUCAGGUAGAGAAUACCAAGGCGCUUGAGAGAACUCGGGUGAAGGAACUAGGCAAAAUGGUGCCGUAACUUCGGGAGAAGGCACGCUGAUAUGUAGGUGAAGUCCCUCGCGGAUGGAGCUGAAAUCAGUCGAAGAUACCAGCUGGCUGCAACUGUUUAUUAAAAACACAGCACUGUGCAAACACGAAAGUGGACGUAUACGGUGUGACGCCUGCCCGGUGCCGGAAGGUUAAUUGAUGGGGUCAGCGCAAGCGAAGCUCUUGAUCGAAGCCCCGGUAAACGGCGGCCGUAACUAUAACGGUCCUAAGGUAGCGAAAUUCCUUGUCGGGUAAGUUCCGACCUGCACGAAUGGCGUAAUGAUGGCCAGGCUGUCUCCACCCGAGACUCAGUGAAAUUGAACUCGCUGUGAAGAUGCAGUGUACCCGCGGCAAGACGGAAAGACCCCGUGAACCUUUACUAUAGCUUGACACUGAACAUUGAGCCUUGAUGUGUAGGAUAGGUGGGAGGCUUUGAAGUGUGGACGCCAGUCUGCAUGGAGCCGACCUUGAAAUACCACCCUUUAAUGUUUGAUGUUCUAACGUUGACCCGUAAUCCGGGUUGCGGACAGUGUCUGGUGGGUAGUUUGACUGGGGCGGUCUCCUCCUAAAGAGUAACGGAGGAGCACGAAGGUUGGCUAAUCCUGGUCGGACAUCAGGAGGUUAGUGCAAUGGCAUAAGCCAGCUUGACUGCGAGCGUGACGGCGCGAGCAGGUGCGAAAGCAGGUCAUAGUGAUCCGGUGGUUCUGAAUGGAAGGGCCAUCGCUCAACGGAUAAAAGGUACUCCGGGGAUAACAGGCUGAUACCGCCCAAGAGUUCAUAUCGACGGCGGUGUUUGGCACCUCGAUGUCGGCUCAUCACAUCCUGGGGCUGAAGUAGGUCCCAAGGGUAUGGCUGUUCGCCAUUUAAAGUGGUACGCGAGCUGGGUUUAGAACGUCGUGAGACAGUUCGGUCCCUAUCUGCCGUGGGCGCUGGAGAACUGAGGGGGGCUGCUCCUAGUACGAGAGGACCGGAGUGGACGCAUCACUGGUGUUCGGGUUGUCAUGCCAAUGGCACUGCCCGGUAGCUAAAUGCGGAAGAGAUAAGUGCUGAAAGCAUCUAAGCACGAAACUUGCCCCGAGAUGAGUUCUCCCUGACUCCUUGAGAGUCCUGAAGGAACGUUGAAGACGACGACGUUGAUAGGCCGGGUGUGUAAGCGCAGCGAUGCGUUGAGCUAACCGGUACUAAUGAACCGUGAGGCUUAACCUUACAACGCCGAAGGUGUUU
rnacentral:rRNA from 1 species